rnacentral:misc_RNA from 1 species
GAUGAAGAACGUAGUGAAAUGCGAUAAGUAAUGUGAAUUGCAGAAUUCAGUGAAUCAUCGAAUCUUUGAACGCACCUUGCGCCCCUUGGUUAUUCCAAAGGGCAUGCCUGUUUGAGUAUCAUGAACACCUCAACUCUUGUGGUUUCCCACAAUGAGCUUGGACUGUGGAGGUUUUGUUGGCCCUGUGGUCAGCUCCUCUCAAAUGGAUCAGCUUACCGGUGUUUGGUGGCAUUACGGGUGUGAUAACUAUCUACGCUCGUGGUCGUCUCCAAAUAACCUCCAGUGAUGGAGGUUCGCUGGAGCUUAUAAAUGUCUCUCCCCAGUGAAGACAGCCUUUGAACGUUCGAUCUCAAAUCAGGUAGGACUACCCGCUGAACUUAAGCAUAUCAAAAGCGGAGGA